UAAUCUCCUCACUUCGCCGUCAAGCGAAGGUUCUCUUCCUCUCAACAGUCUCUCUUCAAACAAAGGUUUUUCUCAAUCUCCUAACAAUUCAAUUGGAAUGCUAUCUUCAUGGAAUCUUUGAUUGAUUGAUUGCUAUCUUCAUGGAAUCUUUGAUUCAUUGAUUUCUUUCUUUCUCGAUUUCUAUCAGAGUUCAAGGCUAUAGGCUAUACAUAUAUAUAUACACUUCUAGGGUUUCUUCAAAUUAGGGUUUUCAUGGCUGAUCGUAACUUGGCUGUGGUGAAACCCAUAUGGAUGAAGCAAGCCGAGGAGGCCAAGCUCAAGAGCGAGGCAGAGAAAGCUGCGGCUGCGAAAGCCGCAUUCGAAGCCACAUUCAAGGACGUUGAGAAGACCCGAAGAGAGGAUUUUUCGGAUAGUGAAGGAGAAGAGGAAGCCGAGGACUUGGCUAACAAACCAAUAGGGCCGGUAGACCCCGCCAAGUGCACCGCCGCGGGGACCGGGAUAGCAGGCGGCACCGCGUGCUCGCCAUCGUCUUUCGUGGUGGUUACGAAGGAUUCCGAUGGCCGGAAAGUCCCGCAUGGUGGCGCGCAAAUUAAUGUGACGGUUUUGGCCGGAGCGGGGGUUGGGGUAUCGGAUCAGGAUGGGAUUGUGAAAGAUAUGGGAGAUGGGUCUUAUACAGUGACAUAUGUGGUUCCUAAAAGAGGGAAUUAUAUGGUGAAUGUGGAGUGUAAUGGGAAGCCCAUUAUGGGUAGCCCUUUUCCAGUGUUCUUCAGUCAAGGAACUACUACUGGCGGGCUGCUCGGUCUGGCCCCAGCGGCUACAUUUCCGAAUUUAGUUAACCAGACCAUGCCCAAUAUGCCAAAUUAUUCAGGUUCUUUUUCUGGAUCAUUCCCAGGAUUGCUUGGAAUGAUUCCGGGUAUCAUUACUGGGGCUUCAGGGGGAGUAGUAUUGCCUGGAAUUGGAGCAUCUCUUGGUGAAGUUUGCCAAGAGUAUCUUAAUGGGCGCUGUGUGAAGACUGAUUGUAAAUUCAAUCACCCACCUCACAAUUUGCUGAUGACUGCAUUAGCUGCCACCACCACCAUGGGAACUCUGAGUCAAGUGCCUAUGGCGCCUUCUGCAGCUGCAAUGGCUGCUGCUCAGGCAAUUGUUGCUGCUCAAGCCCUUCAAGCUCAUGCUGCUCAGGCGCAAGCGCAAGCCCAGUCUGCCAAACACUCUUCUGGAUCAGCUGACAAAGAUGGGAAGGCCGAUUCCCUUAAAAAAACUCUACAAGUUAGCAACCUCAGCCCACUUCUCACAGUGGACCAGUUGAAACAACUUUUUAGUUUUUGUGGCACAGUUGUUGAGUGUAGUAUCACUGAUUCAAAGCAUUUUGCUUACAUUGAAUAUUCAAAACCAGAAGAAGCAACUGCUGCUUUGGCAUUGAACAAUAUGGAUGUUGGGGGUCGGCCAUUGAAUGUUGAAAUGGCCAAAUCACUUCCUCCAAAGCCACCUCUCUUGAAUUCGCCACUUGCUUCAUCUUCAUUGCCCUUGGUGAUGCAGCAAGCAGUGGCUGUGCAACAGAUGCAAUUUCAGCAGGCUCUGUUAAUGCAACAAACAAUGACUGCACAGCAAGCAGCUAACCGAGCUGCAACCAUGAAGACUGCAACAGAACUUGCAGCAGCUAGAGCUGCAGAAAUAAGUAAAAAGCUGAAAGCUGAUGGACCUGAAAAUGAAGUUAUGGAAACAGAUAAAAAGUCUAGGUCACCACCACCCACUACUCGUGCAAGGUCCAAGUCCAGAUCAAGGUCCAAGUCAAAGUCUCCUGUCAGUUAUCAGAGGAGGAGGAGGUCUCGUUCUUUCUCUCCUCGAUCCCGUCAUUCAAGAUAUUAUAGGUCCAGAUCACCAUUGAGAUCACGCCAUUACUCCAGGUAUGAAAAUGAAUGGCGGUCCUAUAGGGACAGUAGGGAUGAUAGUGACAGAAGUAGAAGGCGGGAUUCAGGAAGAUCACAUGAUCAUCAUUCUUAUGCUUCGAGGAGAAACAGGAGUCGGAGUGUGAGUCCUUUAACAAGAAAACCAUAUCAAGAUGAUUCUGACUCGCCAAAACAUCGUCAAGAAAGUUCAAAGCGUAGGACAAAGAAGUCUUCUCGUGCUAGUUCGAGAUCACCAGGACAUCAUAGAGGAAGCAGGUCACCCCCGAUAAGUGAUGAUGACAGAAAAUCAAAACCCAGAAAGCGCUCUAGGUCAAAAUCUCUGGAAGUUAGGCAUCACACAAACGAUAAAAAGGAUGGAAACAGAGAAGAAAAGUCAAAACAUCGUGACAGAAGGCGGUCCAGGUCAGUGUCAGCAGAAGGCAAGCGUCACGGAGGAAGAAGGUUGUCCCCAAAAGUUUUGGAUGAAAACAAAUCAAAACACAGAAGGCGUUCUAGGUCAAAAUCUCCAGAAGAUAAGCAUCACUCCAGAGAUAAAGUGGAGAGAGGCAGAGAUGAGAAGUCAAAGGUUCGUGACAGAAGGCGGUCCAGGUCGAUAUCUGCAGAAGGUAAGCGCCACAAAGGAAGUAGGAUGUCUCAAAGACAUUCGGAUGAACACAAGUCGAGACACAGAGGGCGCUCAAGGUCAAAAUCUGCUGAAAAUAUGCUUUUUUCCGAUGAUAAUGGAAUAGACAAAACUAAAGAUGAAAAGACAAAACAUAAUGAUGAAAGACCUGCCAAAUCUGAUGAUUCCUUUCAGGAACCUAACAAGAAGUCAAAGGGUUUGGUGAACUUGGACGAUGAUGGGACAUCUGUCUCUUCUCCAGUAACUUACAAAAAAAUCUUCUCUGUUAUACACAAUGACAACGUAGAAGGUGGAAGUGAUGGGGAUAAGCAUGAAAGCUCUAGAGGGGAAGACAGUGAUUAUGAGAAGACUGAGACUGCCAUACAGGAUUAACAUUUUACUGAAGAAAUAUGAACUGAACUGUGGAGAUAGAAUUGGAUAAAGAGUUUCCAUUUGUGGGUGAUGGUGACAGGAGUUAUUAUGUCUAUGAUGGGAACUGGGUCCAAUUUUAGAAGCAUGUGGAAAUUCGUCUUGAAUAUGUUAUCCAAGAUGGUUUCAGAGGAUUGCAAUCCUAGUUCCUGCAGAACGAGCAGUCCCUCAGAAGAUUGGUUGAUGUUUCUUUUGGUGCUCAGAAUUUCCCUGCUGGGUUUUUUGGUUCAUCAUUGAAUAAUUUAUUUUUUCUUUUUCUUUCUUUCUUUCUUUCUUUUUUUUUUCCUUUUUUUUUUUUUUUUUUGGUUUUUCCCGUCCUUCCUCCUUUCUUUUGCAGGUCCAGUUGGAACAUAUUGAUUAUAAUGUCUGAGCUGAUCUCGUAUGGUCAAAUGCUUUUGAGAUGUCUGCUGCUCUCCUGUCUAGGAUCAACUGUGCAAUGUUUUUAUCAAACUUCUUUAGCUGCUUGAUGUUUUACAUGCUGGUUUCUUUUGGCGCAUUAUCAGAUCAAUAGGGCAUGGUUGUUUCUUUCUGAUUUGUAUAUGAAGGGAAGCUUCUCUUAAGGCCGACUGCAACCAGCUGUUGUGUUGCCGAGAUGAAUAUCAUCACUAUUACACCAUGUUGAGUAUGAGCGGAUUGACUAAACUUAAAAAGUUGUCUUUUAACAGGUGUGCUGUGAUAUGGUGGAUUGAGAGCUGAUAUUGUGGUUCCCGACAUGGGUUAAUGCAUACAGCAAAAAGUGGAUGUCACUCCCAUUUUGUUUUUGUUUUUUUCCCCUUUUUUUCCCCUUUUUUUCUUUUGGUUUUCUUUUUUCUCUCUUUUCCUUUUGUUUCUUUUUCUGUUCCUCUACUCCCCCACCUUUUCUUUAGGUUUUCUGUACAAAGAAUAGACAAGGGAAACAGACACCAAUCUGACUGAUAGAUUUGAAAGUCACAGGCAAGAAUUGCUUUCUUUCACAUGAUCUGAUGUAGUUGCUUGAACUAUUGGUUGUUUUGUGGUGAUCUUCUCAAAUACCUUUGAUUGUGAGGUCAGAAGAUACUUUUAGUAAUGGUAAGAUGUUUGGUGUAA